UCCAAUACAUUGUGGCUGAAUCCACUUCAAGUUGGGGUUUUUUUGGGGGUUUUUUUUGGUUGGGUUUUUUUUUUUUUUUUUGCCUCUCACAAAGGAGAAUCCCAGAUACCUAGAGGCCAGAGGUCCAGGGCGAUGGGUGGGCUGUGUCGGGGCCCGGCCCAGCCUGGCCUUCCGACAGCAUCCAGGCAGGCCCUCUUUCCCUCCACCGUCUUGGAUGGGCUUAAUUUAUUGUAGGAAACCCUUGAAGGCGCAGGAGCUUUUGGAGAGCCGGGGACAAUAGGCAUAAAGCAUGCAUUUAAGCCGUCUGAAUGGAGGCUAGAUUUACUGUCUGGGCCAGACGGGAUUUUUGUCCCCAAGUCAUCUCGGAGUACAUUGGCCACUAAAGAUCUCAACAGAAGACGAAGACGGAACAAAAGAAGUAAAUUUUAAAAGGAACUUUGUCAAGGAGUUUUAGAUGUUCACCAGAUAGAAAACCGCGGCUGCCCUCACCGAAAUGACUUUUGGAUUUGCCCAGUGGUUAUGGAUCAGAGGAAGAUGCUAAUGAAGUCGUUUAAAUGCACGUUUGAUGGACCCCAGAGAAUGGGACCAAUUUCAUACAAGCCCACAGCAAGGUUAAGGAAUGAAAGAAGGUGGCCGUUAGAGUUGCUGCCGGGGACAAGGCUCCAUUGUCGGGGCUGCCUUUUUCAGCCGUGAAGCGUGAAGCGUGUUUUGAACUACAGUGUUUACCAACGUGUACAUCCUAGUCUGGCCGACCGGGCCUGCAGAAUUUAUGACCAGGAACAAACCUCUUAGAGGGGAAAAGAAAACAGCUCUUACCAGCUGGGAAAGGAGCUCAGAUCAUGCCCUGGAGAAGCAGGUGACAUCGCGGAAUUUUCCUGUUCCAGAUGCCAGAAGUCUGAAAUGAAGGUGUAAAGCAGGGUGGUUCCUUCUGGAGGCUCUGAGAGAAUCACCCCAGGCCUCUCUCCAGCUUCUGGUGCUGGUAUUCUCAGGCUUUGCUGGCUUGUGUUUGACACCAUGCCUGACACAUUGGGGGUGCUCAGUAGACCUGUGUGAGAUGGACAGCCUCCCGUACAGAUGGACGGACAGAUGUACAGGUAGGUGAAUGAACUUUCGUUGCCCCUAAAGCAGGAGAGACUCUGAGUUUCUGAGACAACGGCCAAGAACUUUCUGAUAAGAUCUCUGCAUUUAAGGUUCAGAAAAACUCGAUGAGGACAAUAUUUUUCUCCCGAUUUUGCAGAUAAGAAAAUAGAGGCAUAGAGAAGUCACUUGCUAGUAAAUGUUAGAGGCAGCUUUCUAACCCAGGUCCAUGUGAACCCAGAAAAAGAGGCAGUGAGCACCUGUUCACCCAGGAGCAGCUCUCAGAAGAUAAGAUAAUACGAGGAGGAGGCAGCAGACCCCUAUGCCACGCGUCCACCUGGGGCUGUCCAUCACUUCCUGCAAGAUCUUGCUGGUAGCCAGAUUCUCAGAGACCCCCAGUGAGCCCCGCCUCCUGGUUUUCACACCCUGUGUAGUUUCCUUUCCCCAGGGAUGGUCCAAGUGACCAGCAGCCCGUGGCAGAAGUGAUGGAAUAGCACUUCCAAGCUUAGGUUAUGAAAGAUUGCAGCUUCAAUCUCCUGCCCCACACCCCGUCUCUCUCUCUAACCCCACUCCCUCCCUCCCUCUCUCAUCUCUGACUCUGGGGGAAGCACACUGCAGCCCCGUGGAGAUGCCCUGUGUAAGCCACUGAAGCCUCUGGCCAACAGCAGUGGGAACCUGAGACGUGUCCACAAGCAUGCAUGGGAGCUUGGAAGUGGAUCCUUCAGCCCCAGCCAAGCCUUCAGACGAUGCAGCCUCAGGGACAGUAUGACUGCAGCCUCAUGAGACCCUGAGCCAGAAACACCCCUCCAAGCCACUCCCAGAUGCCUGGCCCUCAGAACCUGGGAGGUAAUAAAUAUUUAUGGCUGUUUGAAGCUGCUGUAUCGGGGGACAAUUUGUUACACAGUAAUAGCUAACUGGUGCAGUCCUGGGACUCUUAGCAGUUUGGAGUAUCAGUUAUUUUGCCAAGGCGGGGAAGUUAACAGUGGUCAUUGCAGCAGCUGCACUUGGGGACCACAAUAAAGAAGCUUUCUCAGACUGGUUUGAACAAAGUGGUGAAUUCUCUGCAAGGACACAGAGGUGUCUCUCAAAACCCAAGGAUGGGACAGCAGGCCUCAAGAAGAACUGGAACCUCUGUCCCUUCUGUGCUUCUUUUUACUCCUGUGUUCUCUGCUUCUUGGAGCACUUGGCAGUUGGGAAGUGGCCAUUUCAAUUCUCGUGGUCAAGAAACCAGCUCAGAAAUAACCCAACCAACACAGGUGGGGUCAGGUGUCCAUCCUGGCUCCAUUUGUCAUGGCGGGAGAUGGUGAUGAAGAGAAACAUCCAGGACCAUUGGUAGGGCACCCGAAUGAGAUUCCAGGAGAGGCCAGUUCUAAGAGAAGGGUACUAGAAAGAUACCCAUUGAAGUCAAUACCACAUGUGGCACAUCCUCCUUUCAGGUGGCAAGUGUGUAGCCAAAGCAAGGUUCAGGGUCCAUAUUUGAAAGUCAGAAACUGAAUAAACUGUUUUCUCCCACCCCGAGCACUGUGGGGAACUCUGCUCACAAAUCCACCAUCCACCAUCACCAGCCGUGCUCAUCUGACCAUUCAUGCAGGCUCACACUUGACCUGAUGUGGGUUCUGUCUCCUUUGCUUGAGAAUUGAAAGGCCUGGGAGAUGCAAAAGCUUUAGGCUCCAGCCAUCUCCCCAUGUCAGGUAGGCCUUUUGCCUAGUGUAUCCAGUUGGUAAUGCUGCAGAGAUGCAUGAAGCUGGAGUCAGAGGCCACCUGUAGUGCUGCCCUGACUUCAGACCUGAGCCCAGCCCAGCAGCAGAGAGGGGGCUGGGAGCCAGAGGAGGCCUCACAGUAACAGCACAGACAGGUGGGGGCCCACAACAGGCCACAUGUGUUCAAACUCGAGUGUGGGCAGAGGAGCAUGGGAAGCUCAGAGCCCUGAGCUCACCCCACACCCAACACGAGUGGGGUCACCCAAAAUCAGCCUGUCAGCACUGUCCCAGCAGCCAGUCGCAUGCUACAUUAACAAAUUUUGCACAGGCCAGCAAGCAGGAUCGCUCACCAGCCACCCUCCUGAACUGGCCUAUGGGGCCCCAGGAUGAUGCCAUAGCCACAAGUCUGGAGUUCCUCAAAGUACCUGGUCAGCACAACUCAGUUAAACAAUGGGCAAAAGACCUGAACAGACACUUCGCCAGAGAAGAUGUACAGAUGCAAGUAAGCAUUUGAAAAGGUGCCCCACAUCGUAUGUCGUUAGGGAAUGGUCCAAUCCAGAACACUGAUGGCACCAAAGGCUGCUGAGCAUGUGGAGCAGCAGAACUCUCAUUCACUGCUGGUGAGAAAAAUGGCGCAGCCCCAAUAGGGAACCCUAAUGCAGACUCUGGACUUCACUGGAAAUGACGUGUCAGUGUAGCUGCGUCAGUUGUAACAAAUGCACCAGUCUGGUGGGCGUGUUGAUAACCGGGGCUGCGCACGUGGGGAGAGAGGACCUGUGGGAAUGCUCUACUUUCCACUCAUUUUUGCUGUGAACUUAAAACUGCUCUUACAAAAUAACAUUGUUUGUUGUUGUUGUUGUUGUUGUUGUUGUUGUUGUUUUUAAGUAUCUAGUCAGCUCCACACAUGACCCGGGCAGAGUGGGAAGUUGUAGAGUGCCCCAAGGAGAGAAAUGGAACCAGGUCUCAUGUGGGGCCAAGUGUGGGCUCCCUGUCCUCUCAGCUGGUCCCAGGAACUGAAGGGAAAUUUAGACAACUUGGAGAAAGACACUCUAGGGCUCGGGGCAAAGGGUGGUGUUGAUGAGAACCAUAUUUUUUUAUUGCUGGUGUAAGCACUUGUAUUUUUCUGAUUUUCCACUGGUUCGAUAAUAAGGGUAAAAGACAAUAAAGCAUACUUUUUAAGCUUU
rnacentral:lncRNA from 1 species